rnacentral:rRNA from 1 species
CAGUCGCCACGGUAAUACGUAGGGUGCAAGCGUUAAUCGCAAUUACUGGGCGUAAAGUGUGCGCAGGCGGUUAUAUAAGACAGAUGUGAAAUCCCCGGGCUCAACCUGGGAACUGCAUUUGUGACUGUAUAGCUAGAGUACGGCAGAGGGGGAUGGAAUUCCGCGUGUAGCAGUGAAAUGCGUAGAUAUGCGGAGGAACACCGAUGGCGAAGGCAAUCCCCUGGGCCUGUACUGACGCUCAUGCACGAAAGCGUGGGGAGCAAACAGGAUUAGAUACCCCGGUAGUCCCUGUCUCUUAUAC